rnacentral:rRNA from 2 species
GUGGCGGACGGGUGAGUAACGCGUGGAUAACCUGCCUGGUAGACCGGGAUAACAGCUGGAAACGGCUGCUAAUACCGGAUACGCUCUUGGGGCCGCAUGGUGCCGAGAGGAAAGGGGAGCCGCUAUCAGAUGGAUCCGCGUCCCAUUAGCUGGUUGGUGGUGUAGCGGACCACCAAGGCGACGAUGGGUAGCCGGCCUGAGAGGGCGACCGGCCACACUGGGACUGAGACACGGCCCAGACUCCUACGGGAGGCAGCAGUGGGGAAUCUUCCGCAAUGGGCGAAAGCCUGACGGAGCAACGCCGCGUGAGGGAAGAAGGCCUUCGGGUUGUAAACCUCUGUCCUAAAGGAAGAAAGAAAUGACGGUACUUUAGGAGGAAGCCCCGGCUAACUACGUGCCAGCAGCCGCGGUAAAAC